GCGUCAGAGUUAACCGCCAUUUUAUACCGGAAGUGCUGAAUUAAACGUUUAAGGACUAUUUUCACUCUUCGAGAUGGAUGUCCCUCAGCUUUAACACGUAGUGCAACUCCUGCAACAAAUCCCACUGAAUCCUCUUGACCUCCAUCUAAGCCACAUCCACUGGAGCUGACAGCGCCUUCUGGAGUCACUGCUGAUGUUUCCACUGUCUACACCACAGCUGAUCUAGGGUCAAACAAGCUAACAGAAGUCUUGGCCAAGAAUCACAAAGCAGAAGACGAGUGGAGAGUCAGACAUCUGUGGGGACUUAUCCAUCUGUCAAGCAAAAUGGCUCUGAACUCCUCAUCCUCACACAAAUCUGGAAAUGAGAGGAAUGGAGGAAAGAAAUGUGUGCUUAUUUCUGCUUCAAGACUCUUUGAUUCUGUUAUUUCAGAUUGACAGCUGCAGCCCUCCUCCACCCCAGCUACCUCCAUGACAUGUCCAGGUCCAAGUCCUUUGUGCAUCCUACAUCCCUUCAUCGCUACUUCCAAGUCUUCUCAUCGGUGUCCUCAGAAGUCCUUUCCCUAAUCUUAUCCUACCUCCUCCAUCACCACCACCAGUGUCUAGACUCCAUAGGGGGGUAUCCUAUUCCGGCUGUCGGCCUAACUACCCCUUCAAGGUCAUAAAGACAUCCAAUGGAGUCUAUUUGCCAAAGACAUUUCCCAUUUUCAAACAUUUCCAAACUCUUAAAAUACAUCUUUGUUAAGCUUAUAUUCAGUCUCUCCUUUUUAUUUUAGACUCAGGCUGGGACACCACAGUUCCCAGAUACACCAAUAAUGCUGAGCUAAAUGAGUCGAAUAAAAGUAAAACAUGCAUUGCCCAUAGUUUCAAGAUCCACAGACAUUUUUACAUUUUCUGUUUGACUUCUUAAAAGUUUAAAAGGUAAAUAUGAACUUAAAAACAAAAAUAUUCAUAUAACCUAUAAUAAGCUGUAACUUGUAAGGGAGCCAAGCUAGCAGACAGUAUGUUGCAGACACUGUGCUUUGAGCCAAUGACAACAUUGGACAAUAAAAGUUGCCAAGAUUCUGUCAUUUUGUGUGUAAUUUUACUUUCUCAGGCUACCAGUUUAGCCAAUACUUAGUCAUAAAGUACUACACAAACAAAGAAAAUCCUGCCAUUCUCAUGCUGUUGUUGAAGGUUGUGACAGUAAUGUUUGGUUAUUUCUAUCUGGACCAAAGUGGAGGAAUGAAGGCUGAGCUGCCAGCAUCACAAAUGCCAAAAACCACAAGU